rnacentral:lncRNA from 1 species
GAGAGAGAGGCAGAGACACAGGCAGAGGGAGAAGCAGGCUCUAGGCAGGGAGCCUGACAUGGGACUUGAUCACUCCCUGGAUGGAGUUUCCAGGAUCACUCCCUGGGCUGAAGGUGGCGCUAAACCACUGAGCCACCUGGGCUGUCCCUCUGAGACAUAUUAAUGUGCUUUAUAAUAUGCUCUUAAAGACAGAGUCUUCUUACUGGAACAUACCUCUGAAGUGCUUGAUAGUCAUACAUAAACUUGAGUUUUUUUAAUUAAUUUAUUUCUUCUUGACCUCAUGACACUAAGUUCAUGACCCUAGCUGAAAUCAAGAGUUGAACACUCAACAGAGCUACUCAGGAACCUCCAUAAACUUGAAUUUUAAGAAAAAAAAUGCUAUUUUCACAGAUACAAGUUAGGAAGAAAGAAGAUCUCCUUUUACUUGUUGAAUUACUGUCAUCUGAGUUCAGUAGAAUGAAUCAGAAUAAACAAUCCUUCCGAGGAGCUAAUCCAAUUGGUGCUGAGAGGAAGUAUGCUAUAUUUGUCAAGAGUGGCUUUCGGCUUAGUAGGCCUGAGUGAGACUUCUGGUCUUACUUACCUAACACAUUACCAAAGCUUCAGUGUGAUCACCCAUAAGUUUCUUUUCUUGCAGAAAACAUUGUUCACCGCUAUAAUUGAUUGUUUUCCCGAGAAUCAGCUACUGAUCCCAUUCUCUCUAUUAAUGUGAAAUUUGAGUGAAAUGGCCUGGUUAGGAUGAGUCCUGGAGAAGGAACACCCAGUGAGUGAUGCUGGUUUGCAAACUGACCCUUGAACACAAAGGCCAAGGAGAGACUGAAGAAAGAGACCCCUCCAGAUUGGUAGGUGGUAGAUUCAAUAAGCAAAGGAAAUUAUAUACAGGCUUGUUUUAGGUGCUGCAAGUCAAGUAGAUCUCUGCAUCUGCCAGCCAGAAUCUUAAACAUUUGUACAGAGGUCUUAAUGAGUCACAUAGUCAUUCCAGAUGGUCUUAACAACACCUUCCUUUCUCAAGGCUGUGUCCUUGAAAAACAGUUCCAGCUGUGGGAUCGGUGGAUGGAAUGUCCACACCGGGGAUGGGUCAUGGGAUGAAGAACCUCAGAUUGCUGGGUCAGGCAGGCAUGUGGGUCAACCAGCGGUCAUGUCCUCUUUAUGACCUCCUUCAACAAGUGUUAUUUGUAAUUGCAAACUCAGGGAACCUGUGGACAAGUAUUAAAGUCUUUUAGGUUAUAAGUGCCGGAGUUCAAAGAUACACGUAUCUGGAAAUGAAGUACUGAGCUCUGCGCUUACACAGAAAGAAGUGGUGAGCUGGUAAGUUUUGGUGUCCAGACUUUUUUAGGGAACUGUUGAAAGGAAGGGGUCAAUUAAUUUUAAAGGCAUAGGAUAUGAUGAAUAUUCAGUCCACUUAAG